AGUGAACGCUGGCGGUAGGCCUAAUACAUGCAAGUCGAACGGAAGCACAGUAAGAGCUUGCCCUUAAGGGUGGCGAGUGGCAGACGGGUGAGGCAUACAUAGGAUUCUAAUUAUUCGUGGGGGAUAACGUAGGGAAACAUACGCUAAUACAGCAUACGUUCUACGGGUGAAAGCAGGGGAUAAUCGGACUUUGCCCGACAGUAUGAGACGAUGUCGCAUUACCUUGUUGGCGGGGUAAAGGCCCACCAAGGCGACGAUCCGUAGCUGGUCUGAGAGGAUGAUCGGCCACACUGGAACUGAGACACGGUCCAGACUCCUACGGGAGGCAGCAGUGGGGAAUAUUGGACAAUGGGCGCAAGCCUGAUCCAGCCAUGCCGCGUGAGUGAAGAAGGCCUUCGGGUUGUAAAGCCCUUUUAUUGGGAAAGAAAAGCAGCAGAUUAAUACCCCGCUGUUCUGACGGUACCCAAAGAAUAAGCACCGGCUAACUUCGUG
rnacentral:rRNA from 1 species